rnacentral:rRNA from 1 species
UGAAAGCUCCGGCGGUUACAGAUGGGCAUGCGUGACAUUAGCUCGUUGGUGAGGUAAUAGCUCACCAAGGCGACGAUGUCUAGGGGGUCUGAGAGGAUGAUCCCCCACACUGGUACUGAGACACGGACCAGACUCCUACGGGAGGCAGCAGUGAGGAAUAUUGCGCAAUGGAGGAAACUCUGACGCAGCCAUGCCGCGUGCAGGAUGACAGCCCUACGGGUUGUAAACUGCUUUUCUGCAGGAAGAACCUUCCGUACGUGUACGGAACUGACGGUACUGCAGGAAUAAGCAUCGGCUAACUCCG